CCCUUAGAUGUUCUGGGCUGCACGCGCGCUACACUGAUGCGCUCAACGAGUUUUAACCUUGCCUGGAAAGGUUGGGUAAUCUUUUUAAAACGCAUCGUGAUGGGGAUAGAUUAUUGCAAUUAUUAAUCUUCAACGAGGAAUUCCUAGUAAGCGCGAGUCAUCAGCUCGUGCUGAUUACGUCCCUGCCCUUUGUACACACCGCCCGUCGCUCCUACCGAUUGGAUGGCCCGGCGAAGUGGUCGGACCGGCGGCCCAGGCACGGUCGUGCCACGGGCCCCGGGAAGUCCACUGAGCCUUGCCAUCUAGAGGAAGGAGAAGUCGUAACA
rnacentral:rRNA from 1 species